AGGCAGACGCUCAACCAUUUGAGCCACCCAGGCACCCGCAAAUUUUGUUAUUUUUAGUCUCAAAUACAUCUUGAAUCUGUCUACUUCUCUCCAGUUGUAAUGCUUCCUCCCUAGCCCAGGAUACCAUGAUCCUUCUCGGGCCUACUACAGUAGUCUUCAAUGUCUCUGUUCCAUUUUUGCUCAUUACAAAUCUCUUCACAGUUACCAAAGAGACUUAAAAAUAUAUGUAUAUAAAUCAGAUCAUGCCACACCCCUGCUGUAUCCAUUAAGUGCUUCCAGCACAAAUAACAGAAACCCCAGCUAAUAGAAACUUAAACCAUAAGGAAAAUUAUUUUCUAUUUAGUAAAAAGGGUGAAGAUCAGUGUUCUCAGGAUUGGUUUAGCAGUUGGUUGAUGUCAUCAAGGACUCAAGUUCUUUCUAUCCUUUCCACCCUCCUAAGUCUGUUGACUUUCAUCUUCAGGCUUGUCAUGGUUGCAGGAUGGCUGCCAUAGCUCUGGACGUUGCAUCCAAAACAGGACAACAGCCAAACAGGAAGAGAAGAGGCAAAAAGCUUUAUUUACUUGUGGCUCUACUAUCAGAAAUAAAAAUGUUUCUCAGAAGCUUCCAGUGACUUCCCCUUAUAUCUCACUGUUCAAAAUUGGCUUAAAUAAAUUAUGAUUCAGUCCCUAAAGUGAGACGCAUUGCCACCCAAGCAAAACUGGAGCUCCGUUAGCAAGGAAGAAGAGCUUAUGGCUAUUAGGAUGUAAAGCCCACAAAGGCAUAGACUGUUUCUUGUUCACCGUUGUACCUCCAUUGUCUAGAAUAGUACCUAGCACACGGUAGGUAUUCAAUAAAUACGUGUUGAAUGGAUGAAUAAAGAAUGAAUGAAUGAAUGGAAACAAGGAUAAAAGGAAAGGUGUGGGAUUAAAUAAAGACAGAAGAGAUGGACUCUCCCCCCCAACAUGGGUCGUAUUCUCACCAAAACCGUGAAGAAGGUGGCCUGAGUCAUCACUGAGAAGUACUACACACACCUGGGCAAUGACUUCCACACCAACAAGCAUGUGUGCGAGGAGAUUGCCAUCAUCCCCAGCAAAAAGCUCCGAAGCAAGAUCACAGGCUCUGUCACACACCUGAUGAAGCAGAUUCAGAGGGGCCCAGGGAGAGUAAUCACCAAGCUGCCGGAGGAGAGAGAAAGGAGGGAUAAUUACGUGCCCGAGAUCUCAGCCCUGGAUCAGGAGAUCCUGACACUAAGGAAAUGUUGAAACUCUUGGACUUUGGCAGUCUGUCCAAACUGUAGGUCACUCAGCCUGCACUUGGGAUGAAUUUCAAAACACCACGUGGAGCCGUUUGAAUAUUUCUGCUGUGCUGUAAUAUCUUCAAUAAACCUUGGACAACAACCUUAAAAAAAAAAAGGGUGAAAAAGGAAUGCAAAGAGAUAUAUUUUUGUAGGAGAAUAAAGGGUGGAUAUAAUGACAUCAUCUUAGCCAUUGCUGACUUUGGGGCCUAAAUCCUUCGCUUGAGUUCAGUGGAUACUUUUUACAAGUCUUGGAACUAAACCAGACUCUUUUCUAUUUUCUUACAUUGGAUCAUAAAUAUAAUUCCUAGGAAACUGCUUUGGGUCAUAAUUAGCCUACUGCUCCCAUGGACAUAGAAUUAGUCAGCUGACACUCAAAGGAGCAAAUUAGUUUUCCUGAGCAGAAAUUACUUUAAAAUGAAAGGAUAUGGACUAUGUAGUCCAGAACGCCCAAGGGCAGUCCUUAUGGAAGGGUUUGUGUGGUAUUAAGUAAGAUUGAGCCUCCAAAAGCCAGUGAAUCAAGGUAGAAGCCAAAGAGUAACAUAUGAGUCUGACUCAUAAGCUCUAAUAAAGUUUGUGAAAUAGA